GUUCUUCGGAACCAGAGACCGGCGCACGGGUGCGUAACGCGUAUGCAAUCUACCUUUUACAGAGGGAUAGCCCAGAGAAAUUUGGAUUAAUACCUCAUAGUAUUACGACUCGGCAUCGAGAUGUAAUUAAAGUCACAACGGUAAAAGAUGAGCAUGCGUCCCAUUAGCUUGUUGGUAAGGUAACGGCUUACCAAGGCAACGAUGGGUAGGGGUCCUGAGAGGGAGAUCCCCCACACUGGUACUGAGACACGGACCAGACUCCUACGGGAGGCAGCAGUGAGGAAUAUUGGUCAAUGGGCGCAAGCCUGAACCAGCCAUGCCGCGUGCAGGAUGAAGCAUCUAUGGUGUGUAAACUGCUUUUGUACGAGAAGAAACACUCCUACGUGUAGGAGCUUGACGGUAUCGUAAGAAUAAGGACCGGCUAACUCCGUGCCAGCAGCCGCGGUAAUACGGAGGGUCCAAGCGUUAUCCGGAAUCAUUGGGUUUAAAGGGUCCGUAGGCGGUUUUGUAAGUCAGUGGUGAAAGCCCAUCGCUCAACGGUGGAACGGCCAUUGAUACUGCAAGACUUGAAUUAUUGGGAAGUAACUAGAAUAUGUAGUGUAGCGGUGAAGUGCUUAGAGAUUACAUGGAAUACCAAUUGCGAAGGCAGGUUACUACCAAUAUAUUGACGCUGAUGGACGAAAGCGUGGGGAGCGAACAGGAUUAGAUACCCUGGUAGCCCACGCCGUAAACGAUGGAUACUAGCUGUUCGGAGCAAUCUGAGUGGCUAAGCGAAAGUGAUAAGUAUCCCACCUGGGGAGUACGUUCGCAAGAAUGAAAC
rnacentral:rRNA from 1 species